CUAAGAAUCUUGCGCAAUGGGCGAAAGCCUGACGCAGCAAUUCCGCGUGGGGGACGAAGGCCCUCGGGUCGUAAACCCCUUUUGUGAGGGAAGAAGUUCUGACGGUACCUCACGAAUAAGACACGGCUAACUACGUGCCAGCAGCCGCGGUAAUACGUAGGUGUCGAGCGUUGUCCGGAUUUAUUGGGCGUAAAGAGCCCGCAGGCGGCUUGGUAAGUUCGAGGUGAAAUCUCCCGGCUCAACUGGGAGGGUGCCUCGAAAACUAUCAGGCUUGAGGCAGGGAGAGGGAUGUGGAAUUCCCGGUGUAGUGGUGAAAUGCGUAGAUAUCGGGAGGAACACCAGUGGCGAAGGCGGCCUUCUGGACGGCUACUGACGCUGAGACGCGAAAGCGUGGGGAGCAAACA
rnacentral:rRNA from 1 species